CCGGAGAAUGUUAUCACGGGAGACACACGGCGGGUGCUAACGUCCGUCGUGAAGAGGGAAACAACCCAGACCGCCAGCUAAGGUCCCAAAGUCAUGGUUAAGUGGGAAACGAUGUGGGAAGGCCCAGACAGCCAGGAUGUUGGCUUAGAAGCAGCCAUCAUUUAAAGAAAGCGUAAUAGCUCACUGGUCGAGUCGGCCUGCGCGGAAGAUGUAACGGGGCUAAACCAUGCACCGAAGCUGCGGCAGCGACGCUUAUGCGUUGUUGGGUAGGGGAGCGUUCUGUAAGCCUGCGAAGGUGUGCUGUGAGGCAUGCUGGAGGUAUCAGAAGUGCGAAUGCUGACAUAAGUAACGAUAAAGCGGGUGAAAAGCCCGCUCGCCGGAAGACCAAGGGUUCCUGUCCAACGUUAAUCGGGGCAGGGUGAGUCGACCCCUAAGGCGAGGCCGAAAGGCGUAGUCGAUGGGAAACAGGUUAAUAUUCCUGUACUUGGUGUUACUGCGAAGGGGGGACGGAGAAGGCUAUGUUGGCCGGGCGACGGUUGUCCCGGUUUAAGCGUGUAGGCUGGUUUUCCAGGCAAAUCCGGAAAAUCAAGGCUGAGGCGUGAUGACGAGGCACUACGGUGCUGAAGCAACAAAUGCCCUGCUUCCAGGAAAAGCCUCUAAGCAUCAGGUAACAUCAAAUCGUACCCCAAACCGACACAGGUGGUCAGGUAGAGAAUACCAAGGCGCUUGAGAGAACUCGGGUGAAGGAACUAGGCAAAAUGGUGCCGUAACUUCGGGAGAAGGCACGCUGAUAUGUAGGUGAAGUCCCUUGCGGAUGGAGCUGAAAUCAGUCGAAGAUACCAGCUGGCUGCAACUGUUUAUUAAAAACACAGCACUGUGCAAACACGAAAGUGGACGUAUACGGUGUGACGCCUGCCCGGUGCCGGAAGGUUAAUUGAUGGGGUCAGCGCAAGCGAAGCUCUUGAUCGAAGCCCCGGUAAACGGCGGCCGUAACUAUAACGGUCCUAAGGUAGCGAAAUUCCUUGUCGGGUAAGUUCCGACCUGCACGAAUGGCGUAAUGAUGGCCAGGCUGUCUCCACCCGAGACUCAGUGAAAUUGAACUCGCUGUGAAGAUGCAGUGUACCCGCGGCAAGACGGAAAGACCCCGUGAACCUUUACUAUAGCUUGACACUGAACAUUGAGCCUUGAUGUGUAGGAUAGGUGGGAGGCUUUGAAGUGUGGACGCCAGUCUGCAUGGAGCCGGCCUUGAAAUACCACCCUUUAAUGUUUGAUGUUCUAACGUGGACCCGUGAUCCGGGUUGCGGACAGUGUCUGGUGGGUAGUUUGACUGGGGCGGUCUCCUCCUAAAGAGUAACGGAGGAGCACGAAGGUUGGCUAAUCCUGGUCGGACAUCAGGAGGUUAGUGCAAUGGCAUAAGCCAGCUUGACUGCGAGCGUGACGGCGCGAGCAGGUGCGAAAGCAGGUCAUAGUGAUCCGGUGGUUCUGAAUGGAAGGGCCAUCGCUCAACGGAUAAAAGGUACUCCGGGGAUAACAGGCUGAUACCGCCCAAGAGUUCAUAUCGACGGCGGUGUUUGGCACCUCGAUGUCGGCUCAUCACAUCCUGGGGCUGAAGUAGGUCCCAAGGGUAUGGCUGUUCGCCAUUUAAAGUGGUACGCGAGCUGGGUUUAGAACGUCGUGAGACAGUUCGGUCCCUAUCUGCCGUGGGCGCUGGAGAACUGAGGGGGGCUGCUCCUAGUACGAGAGGACCGGAGUGGACGCAUCACUGGUGUUCGGGUUGUCAUGC
rnacentral:rRNA from 1 species